GACAGGUGGUGCAUGGUUGUCGUCAGCUCGUGUCGUGAGAUGUUGGGUUAAGUCCCGCAACGAGCGCAACCCUUGAUUUUAGUUGCCAGCAUUUAGUUGGGCACUCUAAAGUGACUGCCGGUGCAAGCCGGAGGAAGGUGGGGAUGACGUCAAAUCAUCAUGCCCCUUAUGACCUGGGCUACACACGUGCUACAAUGGAUAGUACAAAGGGUCGCGAAGCCGCGAGGUGGAGCUAAUCCCAUAAAACUAUUCUCAGUUCGGAUUGUAGGCUGCAACUCGCCUACAUGAAGCCGGAAUCGCUAGUAAUCGUGGAUCAGCAUGCCACGGUGAAUACGUUCCCGGGCCUUGUACACACCGCCCGUCACACCACGAGAGUUUGUAACACCCGAAGUCGGUAGGGUAACCUUUAUGGAGCCAGCCGCCGAAGGUGGGACAGAUAAUUGGGGUGAAGUCGUAACAAGGUAGCCGUAUCGGAAGGUGCGGCUGGAUCACCUCCUUUCUAAGGAA
rnacentral:rRNA from 1 species